CACACACGCACGCACAUAGAUGUUGCAGGAUUCAAUGCACGAGCUGACUCAGAUUCUGAGUUAGUAGCCAUAUUUGAUCUCACUUCAAAUAGUAAUUAAUUUUUACUAUAGAAUCUUAUGCUCCUAUAUAUAAUUCAUAUGUAAAACUCAUAUUAUCAUUAUCACUUUGAGUCCCCCUUCCCCUCUUACAACUCUCUUUCUUCCCAAGUUCCCUCCCUACCCUCACAUCUGCUUUUCUUGUGUGUGUGUGUGUACUACUGUGUAUACUUAGGGCAGCUUGUAUGAGCAUGGGUGGGGGGUCAUUGUGAGGCUGAUGACCCACCUACUCUGCUAACAGUCUAACAGGUGUGGGGGGCUUUUCCUUGAGUGGGGACAAUGUACCGGUGGGCACACCACUAUGGAGUAUGACCUCCCUUUGCAGUCUUAAUUGCCUAUGGCUCCUUAGGCAGGGUUGAGGUCUGAUGAGCCCCUCCCCAUGAUACAAUGAUGUUGGGCUCUCUUUUAGUUUUAGUUUUAAUCAAGAGAUAAUAUUACAAAGGGAAAUGGUGAAGUUUCCCUCACAUUAAACACCAGCCCCUUCCUCGGGUUGAGAACCAUUGGGUAAAGACCAUCCCUCAUCUUUUCAUUUUAUUUUUUUCCUGCUUCAAACUUCAUGAUCCUGUGGCCUUGGAGUGAGGCUUGUUGCAAAUUCUAGACUUUCCAUCUUUUCAGGUCAAGAGAUCUGGCUCAUGGGCAAGGAUGCAUAUUGAUGUUACAUUUUGAGAUGAAUAUUUUAAUGGUUUUUCAGGCUGAAGAGCUUCCCCAAGUUCAUUGGCAGUCUGUUAAACCUCCAAUGAGGCAAACCCCCUUGGGUAUUUCUGUCUAUCUCUCGAUGCUAUAGUAAUCGCUUGCCUCCCAAUGGUGACAUUUAAUCCCGUCUGCUUUGGCCUCUCAGAUGAUCUCAGAACCAAAGCUCUUGCGCUCCUUUCUCAUCUCAUACUAAAACUCAAGUUCCCUUGGUACAGACAGUUUCAAUUAGCUAGGGUUCAGGAGGAAUGUCACCUGACUUAAUUAAUUCAUACAGAUCUGCGACUGACCAAAAGCACCCUUAGAGAUGAAUUUCCUCUUGUGGCAUUUAUACUUCCUUUCUCUGGGUUCUCAUAGGUACCGUAACAGCUACAGAGCCCAGAGAGGGCAAAGGAAGGAGAGAAAAGCUGUAGGCUAUUGGCACUGGCUGAUUUUCUUAUAAGAUAAUCUGCUUGUGUAAGCAUGGGACUUCCUUAUUUGAGACAACACAAUGAUUAUUCCUGGUCACAUUGAAAUACAGCUAUGGACUGCAUUAACAAUUACAAUCAUAUCAAUUUAAAGCUUUCAGGUCCUCUGUGCUAUUCUUUGGAAAUGUUGAAUCAGGUAGACUUGAAUAAUAAAACCUGAUUUCUAUAUUGAGUUUAGUUCAGAAUGGGGGAUGGGAAGCUGUGGUGGUAGGCAGUGGGGGAUGGGAAGGGCUUGCUGGGCAGCUAGUCCAGAGAGGUGAGGGUACCCAGGCAUCAUAAAUCCUUGCUCACAAGGAAAUAGGAGUGAAGCAUCUAUCUGAGGCUUUGAGCUGGGAUUCUAAUCCUGAAAAGAAAUGGGCGCUACUGAAAUAUAGACUUGAAAAUCUGCAAAGCUUGGACUAAGGAGAAAAUGAGGAUUGUCAGAGUGAAGACGCUGUGGAGGGAGUGAGCACAAAGAUGCUGAAGACCCAGCAUCAACCACAGAGCCCAUAUACCUGGUCAACUCUAGGCCCGCCUGAUGCAAAGACUCUUGCUCCACAUCUGGCCAGAAAACACAGGCAUUUCCUGUUACAACUCAGGCCUUAGGAGUACCUGCACCUUGAUCUUGGACUAUCAGCCUCCAGAAGUGUGAGACAGUAACUAUUGUUUGAGGAAAUGCCUCCAUGAGCUCUGUAAGGCAUUUUCUUAGUGAUCAAUGAGGGAGGGCCAAGCCUGUGGUGGGUGGUGCCAUCCUUGGGCUGGUGGUCCUGGCUUCUUCUAUAAGAAGAUGGGCUGAGCAAGCCACGGGAAGCAAGCCAGUAAGCUGCUCCCCUCCAUGGCCUCUGCAUCAGUUCCUGACUCUGGGAUCCUGCCCUGUUUGAGUUCCUGUCCUGACUUCCUUCAGUGAUGAACAGCAAUGCUGAAGGGUAGAAUCUGUUUUAAAAGGUGCCUAGAAGAAGGACUGUCAGCACAUAUAUGUUGCUGUAUUGCUGGAGAGAUAUCUUCAAGAGAGAUUUCCAGAGACCUUAGAUAUCAGCAUACUGUCUUGUCCACAUCGAAUGAGGACAUCUCACUGAUGGAAACCAUGCAGGUUAAUCUACGAAAAACUAUAUAAUUGCACAAACCCAUAAAGCACUGCAGUUACAUUGUAUUUUGGUCAUUCGAAUAAUCUUUGUCUUCAAGCUCCUGGCACUUUUAGAAAUGUCCUCACUCAGAAAAAGGUGGGAAACCAAUGAAACUGAUAGACUUCCAGAAGUAAAGAUAAUUUUUCAGAUAUUGCUAGUGAGAUCGAAGAUGCUGAUGACUGCUUCUGAUGAUGCUGGAGACCAUUCUCCCGAUUCUCCUGACACUGACGUUAUUACCCCUGGAAGGAAACCAAGGUGGUGAUGCUUUCAAGAGAUUCCCACACUGAUGAAGCUCCUGAUAAUUGUUGGUUUUAAUUGACACACCACCACACUUCCAGAUGUUUGAAGGUCAUGCUGGGGUCACUGCAUCUCCUUCUCAGUGUGACUCUGUACCCUCUAUGACCAAUCUCUUUUUUGAUGAUGAAUUUAAUGUCUCAUUUGGUGUUGAGUUGUUUGAGAUGUUAUACAAAGAGCUGUCCCAACCAUCAUGAUCAAACUGCAGUGAAACUCAAAACACCAUCUAGAACACUGAAGUGGUCUCCAGUUACACAGAAGGACAUCAAGAAAUUCCUUGACUUAAUUAUUCUGAUGGGCCAAACAAGAAAAUAUAGCUUGGGAGACUAUUGGUCAACAGAUCCUUUGAUAUGUACCCCUAUAUUUCCACAGACAAAGAGUCACCAUAGAUUUGAGCAAAUAUGGACAUUCUGGCAUUUCAAUGAUAACACCAAAAUGGACAGUCACUCGGGGAGACUUUUCAAGAUCCAGCCUGUGCUGGAUUAUUUCUUCCAUAAAUUUCGAACAAUAUACAAGCCAAAGCAACAGCUCUCUUUGGACGAGGGAAUGAUUCCAUGGAGAGGACGUUUAAAAUUUCCCACAUACAACCUAGUGAAAAUAACAAUUAUGGUUCACUUGUUCGGAUGGUGUGUGAGAGUGACUCUGGCUCUGUCUGUAAUAUGGAAAUAUACACUGUUGAAGGAGAGAUUGCAAGAAACUGUUCUUUUAGCCCUUAGACCCUGUCUUGGCAUAUGGCACCAUAUUUACCAGGAUAAUUAUUACAGUGCUACAUCUACUGUUGAAUUGCUGCUACAGAACCAUACUAGAGUCUGUGGGACUGUUAGGGAGAGUAGAGGUUUAUCACCAAAUUUGAAAAUGAAAACGUGAAGAAUGAAGAAAGGUGACAUAAUAUUUUCCAGAAAAAGUGAUGUUCUUCUCCUAGCAUGGAAAGACAAGCAGAUUGUCUGAAUGAUAUCAACAGUUUGUGACACUUCUGUCUCCACAACAGGAAAAAAAAAAAUAGGAAAACGGGAGAGAAUAUUAUAAAACAGACCUGCAUUAAGGAACACAAUGCCCACAUGGAAGGCAUUGACCAUGCAGAUCAAUGCCUUACAUGUUAUCCAUGCUAAGGAAAACAGUGAAAUGGACAAAAAAAGUAGUGUUGUCCCUUAUAAACUGUGGACUUUUCAACUCCUUCAGAGUGUACAACAUCCUCAGUCCACAAGCAAAAAAGAAGUGUAAUCGGUUUCUGCUAUCGGGGGCGAGAGACUGGAUAAUGGAUGACAGUAAUGAAGGCUUGCAGGAACCAGAGAUACAUCUGUCCAGCCCUUUCCCUGGGGGUGCAAGGGGAGCACCUCCGUAAAGACCCACCCAAAAGGCCAUCAGGUGACUUGAAGCAGCAUGAACCUACAUGUAUUCCAGCAAGUGGAAAGAAAAAAUUUCCUAUGAGAGCAUGCAGAGUUUGUGCUGCCCGUGGAAAAAGGAGCUAAUCUAGACACUUAUGUAAAUUUUGUUUGGUCCCUCUUCAUAGAGGAAAAUGUUUUAUGAAGUACCAUACAUUAAAAAAGU